rnacentral:misc_RNA from 2 species
GAUUAGUAAAAUUAGCCGAAUAACCAGCAGAGCUGGUUAUUCGGCUAAUAGUGCUAAACGCAGUAA